CACAAAACCUCCACUGAAUAGAUUGUGGAGGUUUUUAAAAACCCCCACAAAAGACCUCGUGGCACCUCAAAUUUUGGGGGUUUUAGUAACCCCCACAAACCAUUUGGUGGAGGUUAUAAACCUCCACAAAUAAGA